ACGACUCUCGGCAACGGAUAUCUCGGCUCUCGUGAUCGAUGAAGAACGAGCGAAAUGCGAUACCUGGUGUGAAUUGCAGAAUCCGUAAAACCAUCGAAGUCUUUGAUCACAAGUUGCACCCGAGGCCAUCCGGCUAAGGGCACGCCGCCUGGGCGCCACGCUUUCGACAACCGCCGUUGUUUCUGGGGGGGGUUUAACACGGAGGAUGGCCCCUGUGUGCCGGAAGGUGCGGUUGGGUCAAGAGCGGGCCGUCGAUGGUUGUCGAAACACGACGCCGUGGUGGAUGCCUUGAAGCGAGCCCAGACGUCGUGGUUUCGGGACCAGGCGAGGCCUCGAGGAACCAAGUCGUGGUGCGAGUCGAUGCCACGGACCGCGACCCCAGGUCAGGUGGGGCUACCCGCUGAGUUUAAGCAUAUAAAUAAGAGGAGGAGAAGAAACAUACAAGGAUUACCUUAGUAACGGCGAAGCGAACCGGGAUCAGCCCAGCCUUUGAGAAUCGGGACUCCGCGUCUGUCUGAAUUGUAGUCUGGAGAAGCAUCCUUAGCUGGACCGGACCGCCCAAGUCUCCCCGGAAAGGGGGGCCGGGAGGGUGAGAGCCCCGUCCGGCUCGGACCCUGUCGCACCACGAGGCACUGUCAACGAGUCGGGUUGUUUGGGAAUGCAGCCCCAAUCGGGCGGUAAAUUUCGUCCAAGGCUAAAUAUGGGCGAGAGACCGAUAGCGAACAAGUACCGCGAGGGAAAGAUGAAAAGGACUUUGAAAAGAGAGUCAAAGAGUGCUUGAAAUUGCCGGGAGGGAAGCGGAUGGGGGCCGGCGAUGCACCUAUUUCGGAUGCGGAAUGGCGGUUAGUCGGUCCGCAGCUCGGCUCAGGGUGCGGAUCGAUGUGGGUUGCAUCGAUGUCCGAAGCCUGGACGGAUCGUUCGUUCGAGGGGAUACCAUCAAUGCGGUUGAGGACAUGACGCGCGCGGGGUACACGUGCGACCUAGGCAUCGGCCAGUGGGCUCCCCAUCCGACCCGUCUUGAAACACGGACCAAGGAGUCUGACAUGCGUGCGAGUCGACGGGUGCGGAAACCCGUAAGGCACAAGGAAGCUAACGGGAGGGAACCCUCUCGAGGGGUUGCACCGCCGACCGACCCCGAUCUUCUGUGAAGGGUUCGAGUUGGAGCAUGCAUGUCGGGACCGAAAGAUGGUGAACUAUGCCCGAAGCGAGGAGGCGGCCAGAGGAAACUCUGGUGGAGGCCCAAGCGAUCUUGACGUGCAAAUCAUUAGUCUGACUUGGGUAUAGGGGCGAAAGACUAAUCGAACCAUCUAGUAGCUGGUUCCCUCCGAAGUUUCCCUCGGGAUAGCUGGAGCCCACGCGCGAAGUUCUAUCGAGUAAAGCCAAUGAUUAGAGGCAUCGGGGCGAACGCCCUCGACCUAUUCUCAAACUUUAAAUAGGUAGGACAGCUGUUGCCGUUGAGCAGCGUCGCGAAUAGAGAGCUCCGAGUGGGCCAUUUUGGUAAGCAGAACUGGCGAUGCGGGAUGAACCGGAAGCCGGGUUACGAUACCCAACUGCGUGCUAAUCCAGACACCACAAAGGUUGUUGGUCGAUUAAGACAGCAGGACGGUGGUCAUGGAAGUCGAAAUCCGCUAAGGAGUGUGUAACAACUCACCUGCCGAAUCAACUAGCCCCGAAAAUGGAUGGCGCUGAAGCGCGCGACCCACACCGACCAUUGGGGCGAGCGCCAAGCCCCGAUGAGUAGGAGGGGGCGGCGGUCGCCCAAGAAACCCAGGGUAUGCAAGCCCAGCGGAGCGACCAUCGGUGCAGAUCUUGGUGGUAGUAGCAAAUAUUCAAAUGAGAACUUUGAAGGCGAAGAGGGGAAAGGUUCCAUGUGAACGACACUUGCACAUGGGUUAGCCGAUCCUAAGGGACGGGGAAGCCCGUCCGGCGCGGUUCCUCGCCGAGUUCGAAAAAGGGAAUCGGGUUAAAAUUCCCCGCCGCCGACGCUGGCGACGACAACGUUAGGAAGUCCGGAGACGCCGGGCGGGGCUUCGGGAAGAGUUAUCUUUUCUGCUUAACGGCCCGCCCACCCUGGAAAUGGCUCAGCCGGAGGUAGGGUCUCGCGUCGGAAGAGCGCCCCGUCGCAUGGCGUCCGCGCCGGGCGCCCUUGAAAAUCCGGAGGACCGAGUGCCGCCAGCGCCUGGUCGUACUCAUAACCGCAUCAGGUCUCCAAGGUGAACAGACCUGGCCCAUGGAACAAUGUAGGCAAGGGAAAUCGGCAAAACGGAUCCGUAACCGGAAAAGGAUUGGCUCGAGGGCUGGGCACGGGGUCCCGGCCCGAACCCGGCCGAUCGCCGGGCGGACUGCUCGAGCUGCUCUCACGGGCGAGAGCGGGUCGCCGCGCGCCGGCCGGGGAUGGACAGGGAAUGGCCCCCCUCGGGGGGGGCCUUCCCGGCGUCGAACGCCGACUUCGAACUGGUACGGACAAGGGGAAUCCGACUGUUUAAUUAAAACAAAGCAUUGCGAUGGUCCCCGCGGAUGCUCACGCAAUGUGAUUUCUGCCCAGUGCUCUGAAUGUCAAUGUGAAGAAAUUCAACCAAGCGCGGGUAAACGGUGGGAGUAACUAUUGCUAGUCAUAGGUGCCCAGCAAGCCAAUCACGUGAGUGAUGGCACGUGUGACUUGAUACAGAAUCUUUUUGCUUAUUAUAUUUUGGCGUAUAUCACUUUAUAACAAUUGCAUAUGUGCAUAUAUAUAUUGUGAUGUCCUUGGAUUUGUGCAAAGGGAAUCGGAUCGUGAUGAGAUCACGAUAAUGAGAUCGAUUCACCUUUAAACACAUAUCCUAAAUAAUCCCGGUCAUAGGUUACUCGAGAGGGACAUCGUGAUAACCGGAUAGACUGGUGUGCUGUAUACCCUUCCAUAUGAUGGAUGCAGCUGGUCUCAUAGCUGCUCGUGUAGGGACACUAGGGAUACAGUACAGGUGCUCAUUGGAGAAUGAGUUCACUAAUUGAUCCGCUUACGGAAUGCUGGAUUGUUGAUGAUGCCUUAUUGUCAGACAGCGAUUCUGUAGUCUUAGUGGUGUACCUAGUCCUUAGACUUGAGACACCAAGGAUGUCUUGUAUAAGUGCUCCACUCUUUGAUACUAGACUUAUAGGUUUGGCUGUCCAAGAUCUAGUACAGCUGGUCAUUAGGAGUGGUAGUCGACCUUACGAGGGCUAUUGUGUGUCGAUAGAGGAUCAUCCACUCUCGGCGUCAUGAGAGGAAUAUCCCAUGUGUUCUUGCUCAAACAAAUCCCUGGCCAGGGUCAUUCGGGUUGAGAGAGAAAGAGUUCUCCGGGAGAAUCCGAUUAGAGCGAGACUCGAGUAGAAACCGUAUGGGUCUGACAACACCAUGCUCGAUAUACGGUCUCUGGGAUAUUAGAUGGAUGAGGGA
rnacentral:rRNA from 1 species